rnacentral:lncRNA from 1 species
CAAAGCCGGACGAAAGGGAGCUGCUGUUUGUAUAAUGGGACGGUGCUCUGUUCAGGGAGUUGGAGUUCCUGUAAGGCCGUCGGAGGGAACCCCUGAGUUACAACGUGGUGAUGGCACCUUGGGCUAGUGGCGACCCACUGUGGCCUCAGUUUUCCCAAUUAUCCCUGAACUGAGGAGGCAAGAUCAGUUUGGCAGUUGAAGCAGCUGGAAUCUGCAAUUCAGAGAAUCUAAGAAAAGACAACCCUGAAGAGAGAGACCCAGAAACCUAGCAGGAGUUUCUCCAAACAUUCAAGGCUGAGGGAUAAAUGUUACAUGCACAGGGUGAGCCUCCAGAGGCUUGUCCAUUAGCAACUGCUACAGUUUCAUUAUCUCAGGGAUCACAGAUUGUGCUACCUAUUGCCUACCAUCUGAAAACAGUUGCUUCCUAUAUUUCAUCCAGUUUAAUAUUUAUUUAAACCAAGAAGGUUAAUCUGGCACCAGCUAUUCCGUUGUGAGUGGAUGUGAAAGUACCAAUUCCAUUCUGUUUUACUAUUAACUAUCCUUUGCCUUAAUAUGUAUCAGUAGGUGGCUUGUUGCUAGGAAAUAUUAAAU